GUUUGAUCCUGGCUGAGGAUGAACGCUGGCGGCGUGCUUAACACAUGCAAGUCGAACGAUGAUCUCCAGCUUGCUGGGGGGAUUAGUGGCGAACGGGUGAGUAACACGUGAGUAACCUGCCCUUGACUCUGGGAUAAGCCUGGGAAACUGGGUCUAAUACCGGAUAUGACCAUCUGGCGCAUGUCAUGGUGGUGGAAAGCUUUUUUGUGGUUUUGGAUGGACUCGCGGCCUAUCAGCUUGUUGGUGGGGUAAUGGCCUACCAAGGCGACGACGGGUAGCCGGCCUGAGAGGGUGACCGGCCACACUGGGACUGAGACACGGCCCAGACUCCUACGGGAGGCAGCAGUGGGGAAUAUUGCACAAUGGGCGCAAGCCUGAUGCAGCGACGCCGCGUGAGGGAUGACGGCCUUCGGGUUGUAAACCUCUUUCAGUAGGGAAGAAGCGUAAGUGACGGUACCUGCAGAAGAAGCGCCGGCUAACUACGUGCCAGCAGCCGCGGUAAUACGUAGGGCGCAAGCGUUAUCCGGAAUUAUUGGGCGUAAAGAGCUCGUAGGCGGUUUGUCGCGUCUGCUGUGAAAGACCGGGGCUCAACUCCGGUUCUGCAGUGGGUACGGGCAGACUAGAGUGCAGU
rnacentral:rRNA from 3 species